GAGCCAUUAGCUCAGUUGGUAGAGCAUCUGACUUUUAAUCAGAGGGUCAGAGGUUCGAAUCCUCUAUGACUCACUA
rnacentral:tRNA from 1 species